CAGGACGAACGCUGGCGGCGUGCUUCAUACAUGCAAGUCGAACGAGAAGCUGACUUCGGUCAGUGGAAAGUGGCGGACGGGUGAGUAAUGUGUAGAGAAUCUGCCCUAGAGAGAGGGACAACAGUUGGAAACGACUGCUAAUACCUCAUAUGCGCGUAGCUGAGAUGCUAUUCGUGAAAACUCCGGUGCUCUGGGAUGAGUCUGCAUCUGAUUAGCUAGUUGGCGGUGUAAUGGACCACCAAGGCGACGAUCAGUAGCUGGUUUGAGAGGAUGAUCAGCCACAAUGGGACUGAGACACGGCCCAUACUCCUACGGGAGGCAGCAGUAGGGAAUUUUGCGCAAUGGGGGAAACCCUGACGCAAGCAACGCCGCGUGAUUGAAUAAGCCCUUCGGGGUGUAAAGAUCUGUCAGUAGGGACGAAACUUGACGGUACCUACAGAGGAAGCAUCGGCUAACUCCGUGCCAGCCGCUGC
rnacentral:rRNA from 1 species